rnacentral:rRNA from 1 species
UACGGAGGGUGCAAACGUUGUCCGGAAUCACUGGGCGUAAAGAGCAUGUAGGUGGUUUAGUAAGUGAACGAUUAAAGACCGAUGCUUAACAUCGGACCGGUUGUUUAUACUGCUUGACUCGAGAAUAGCAGGGGUAAGUGGAACUUUAGGUGUAGGAGUGAAAUCCGUAGAUAUCUAAAGGAACACCAAUGGCGAAGGCAGCUUACUGGGCUUUUUCUGACACUGAGAUGCGAAAGCGUGGGGAGCGAACGGG